CUCUUUGAAAUCCAUCUGCCCAACAGUUGCAAGCCCCAGCUGCUGCCUUGAGGCUUCAGGCGGUGGGGAGAGAAUCAAUUAUCCGACCUCAGCCGCUGCAGCCUGUGCCCCAGCCACGCCUAUGAAGCUGCGCUUAAUGUGGACCUAAGCACUCCAACAACUGCCUUUUGCCCGUGGUCCCCACCUGGCAACGCGAUAAACAUGGUCUCCGCUAUCAGGAGAGUUUAGCAACACCGGAGAUAGGGACCAGCAUGCACUGCACCUUCCGUGUCAGACGCCUUGUGCACAAGUGAGUAUCUGGGCUUUAUCCUUAAAACUCUUUAAAAUUGCGUUUGAGUGUGUGUGUGUUUGUUUAUUUUAUGUGUAUGUUUUUGUGCUAGAGUGGAGGUCAGAGGACAAACCUGUGGGAGUUCUAGUCGCACCAUGCGGAUCUUAAGUAUUGAAUCGUUCGUUGUUAGGCUUAUAGCAAGCACCCUAACCAGUUGAAAUGUACUUACUUAUUUGUUUUUGAGACAGGGUUUCACUAUAAAGCACUGGCUGUCCUGGAACUCACUAAGUAGACCAGGCUGGCCUGCCUCUGCCUCCUGAGUGGUGGGAUUAAAGGAGUGGCCCAUUGUGACCGACCCUGGACUUUAUUUAUAACCGUGAGCCUUUCACACAUUAGCCAAUGCUCUCCUUGCCUCUGCCUGAGAAACUUCUGGAGUGUUAUUCAUAUCCGUUUUUAGAACUCUGGAUGUGGCUAAUUGAGAUUGUAUUCAUUGCUGACUUGGCGCCCUUUCCACCUGUACUUCUGAUAGUUAUAGCAAUAAGUGUCGUGACUAAGCCACCGGCGGGGCUCGGGGUCCUUCGGUCCCAUUCAGGACCCCGAGAGUCUGACUUACUGGGUGCCUGCUAGGUGGCAGGCUCUAUUGGACCUCAAGUUUUGAGGCCACUGGCCUUGCAUCCAGUGAGUUUUGCUUCGGACAGUGUUCCUUAGAUGCUUUGCCACAGUGCCAUGCAAAUGGAUUAAAUGGCAAAACCCAAAAAUGGUUCACAUUCCGCGGAGGAAAAGGCAGGAAUGUCUAGGAUGCUGAACAUUCUUAGAAAAGCUUUCUUCAUCUAUAUUCUGGAUAUGGAGUUCCAGGAUGCCUGCCCCCCCCCCCACCACAGCUGAUGGUUGAGUUUAAUCUCCAAAAUCAUAGGUUGAUAGUAUAAAUAAGGAAAUGGAACCCUACCUACUGAGCUCAGAGGGGAGACAUCUGGGAAGUGAUUACAUUCGAUCAAGUCCUUCGGGCCAAUCCUGAUGGCCUCUGGGAAGAAGGUAUUAUCAGUUAGACUCUGAGAUACGCAUGCAUUCCUGCCAUAGUGUAUCGAAGUCAUGGGGACUGAGGCCAGAGCCUGUUUGUGCCUUCAGGAUCCGAAGCCGUAGGCUAAAUAGCUCUCCAUUCUCCAUCCAGUGGGCUGCUUCAAAUACGUGGCUAUAGUAACAAAAAUCUUUCUAGUAAGUAAUUUCCAUCAACAGAACUCUUCCCUCCUUUGGAUGUCAGUAAUUGGGGCAAAAAGAGAGACCAAGUGUGUUCUAGAGCAUGUUUAAGUGCCGAGGGUCGCAGAUAGGGCCACGCGGGAACCACUGUGCUACACUACCAACUCCAACGCAAGAGACUGCUUCUUCAAUCCUGCACCAACCUCUUGCUUCUGGUUCCCAGGACAGUUUGCUUUUAUUUACCAUCUACUUCCUCAUGCAGGGUCUAACCUGGGUUCACU
rnacentral:lncRNA from 1 species